rnacentral:rRNA from 1 species
CCUACGGGGUGCUGCAGUGAGGAAUAUUGGUCAAUGGACGAGAGUCUGAACCAGCCAAGUAGCGUGAAGGAUGACUGCCCUAUGGGUUGUAAACUUCUUUUAUAUGGGAAUAAAACGUUCCACGUGUGGGAUUUUGUAUGUACCAUAUGAAUAAGGAUCGGCUAACUCCGUGCCAGCAGCCGCGGUAAUACGGAGGAUCCGAGCGUUAUCCGGAUUUAUUGGGUUUAAAGGGAGCGUAGGUGGAUUGUUAAGUCAGUUGUGAAAGUUUGCGGCUCAACCGUAAAAUUGCAGUUGAAACUGGCAGUCUUGAGUACAGUAGAGGUGGGCGGAAUUCGUGGUGUAGCGGUGAAAUGCUUAGAUAUCACGAAGAACUCCGAUUGCGAAGGCAGUUCACUGGACUGCAACUGACACUGGGGCUCGAAAGUGUGGGUAUCAAACAGGAUUAGAUACCCCAGUAGUC